UUUCAGGGCUGUUCUUUUAAAUCGGUGAGCACGGUCUGUCUACUUUCCCUCAGUUGUCUAGAGACCACACGCCACCCCCGCCCCGGGGGAGUCGCCCGGUCGAGGGUCCCGGGACAGGCGCAGCACUCGCAGCAUCCGGACCUGGUCCGCCUCGCGCCGGGAGCGGCCUCUUUAAGAGCGGCCGCGGCCAACGUGCUCCGUGACGUCAGAGCAGGAAGUGUUUGAGGAAGUCGCGCCGCGCUGCCCGCGUUAAGAUUCCCGCAUUUUAAUGUUUUCAGGGGGGUGUCAUAGCCCCGGGUUUGGCCGCCCCAGCCCCGCCUUCCCCGCCCCGGGGAGCCCGCCCCCUGCCCCGCGUCCCUGCCGACAGAUUGCUUAUAGAGUUAGCACGACAUCAGUAUGAGCUGGUCACCUUCCCUGACAACGCAGACAUGUGGGGCCUGGGAAAUGAAAGAGCGCCUUGGGACAGGGGGAUUUGGAAAUGUCAUCCGAUGGCACAAUCAGGAAACAGGUGAGCAGAUUGCCAUCAAGCAGUGCCGGCAGGAGCUCAGCCCCCGGAACCGAGAGCGGUGGUGCCUGGAGAUCCAGAUCAUGAGAAGGCUGACCCACCCCAAUGUGGUGGCUGCCCGAGAUGUCCCUGAGGGGAUGCAGAACUUGGCGCCCAAUGACCUGCCCCUGCUGGCCAUGGAGUACUGCCAAGGAGGAGAUCUCCGGAAGUACCUGAACCAGUUUGAGAACUGCUGUGGUCUGCGGGAAGGUGCCAUCCUCACCUUGCUGAGUGACAUUGCCUCUGCGCUUAGAUACCUUCAUGAAAACAGAAUCAUCCAUCGGGAUCUAAAGCCAGAAAACAUCGUCCUGCAGCAAGGAGAACAGAGGUUAAUACACAAAAUUAUUGACCUAGGAUAUGCCAAGGAGCUGGAUCAGGGCAGUCUUUGCACAUCAUUCGUGGGGACCCUGCAGUACCUGGCCCCAGAGCUACUGGAGCAGCAGAAGUACACAGUGACCGUCGACUACUGGAGCUUCGGCACCCUGGCCUUUGAGUGCAUCACGGGCUUCCGGCCCUUCCUCCCCAACUGGCAGCCUGUGCAGUGGCAUUCGAAAGUGCGGCAGAAGAGUGAGGUGGACAUUGUUGUUAGCGAAGACUUGAAUGGAACGGUGAAGUUUUCAAGCUCUUUACCCUACCCCAAUAAUCUUAACAGUGUCCUGGCUGAGCGACUGGAGAAGUGGCUGCAACUGAUGCUGAUGUGGCACCCCCGACAGAGGGGCACGGAUCCCACGUAUGGGCCCAACGGCUGCUUCAAGGCCCUGGAUGACAUCUUAAACUUAAAGCUGGUUCAUAUCUUGAACAUGGUCACGGGCACCAUCCACACCUACCCUGUGACAGAGGAUGAGAGUCUGCAGAGCUUGAAGGCCAGAAUCCAGCAGGACACGGGCAUCCCAGAGGAGGACCAGGAGCUGCUGCAGGAAGCGGGCCUGGCGUUGAUCCCCGAUAAGCCUGCCACUCAGUGUAUUUCAGACGGCAAGUUAAAUGAGGGCCACACAUUGGACAUGGAUCUUGUUUUUCUCUUUGACAACAGUAAAAUCACCUAUGAGACUCAGAUCUCCCCACGGCCCCAACCUGAAAGUGUCAGCUGUAUCCUUCAAGAGCCCAAGAGGAAUCUCGCCUUCUUCCAGCUGAGGAAGGUGUGGGGCCAGGUCUGGCACAGCAUCCAGACCCUGAAGGAAGAUUGCAACCGGCUGCAGCAGGGACAGCGAGCCGCCAUGAUGAAUCUCCUCCGAAACAACAGCUGCCUCUCCAAAAUGAAGAAUUCCAUGGCUUCCAUGUCUCAGCAGCUCAAGGCCAAGUUGGAUUUCUUCAAAACCAGCAUCCAGAUUGACCUGGAGAAGUACAGUGAGCAAACCGAGUUUGGGAUCACAUCAGAUAAACUGCUGCUGGCCUGGAGGGAAAUGGAGCAGGCUGUGGAGCUCUGUGGGCGGGAGAACGAAGUGAAACUCCUGGUAGAACGGAUGAUGGCUCUGCAGACCGACAUUGUGGACUUACAGAGGAGCCCCAUGGGCCGGAAGCAGGGGGGAACGCUGGACGACCUAGAGGAGCAAGCAAGAGAGCUGUACAGGAGACUAAGGGAAAAACCUCGAGACCAGCGAACUGAGGGUGACAGUCAGGAAAUGGUACGGCUGCUGCUUCAGGCAAUUCAGAGCUUCGAGAAGAAAGUGCGAGUGAUCUAUACGCAGCUCAGUAAAACUGUGAUUUGCAAGCAGAAGGCGCUGGAACUGUUGCCCAAGGUGGAAGAGGUGGUGAGCUUAAUGAAUGAGGAUGAGAAGACUGUUGUCCGGCUGCAGGAGAAGCGGCAGAAGGAGCUCUGGAAUCUCCUGAAGAUUGCUUGUCCAGGUCAUAGAGGAUGCAAGCCACAGGAAUUCCCAUAGCCUUUGUGUGUGUGUCUGUCUUCUACCUGGAAUACAAGCAAGGUCCGUGGUCCUGUCAGUGGAAGUCCGGAUAGCAUGAAUGCCUCUCGACUUAGCCAGCCUGGGCAGCUGAUGUCUCAGCCCUCCACGGCCUCCAACAGCUUACCUGAGCCAGCCAAGAAGAGUGAAGAACUGGUGGCUGAAGCACAUAACCUGUGCACCCUGCUAGAAAAUGCCAUACAGGACACCGUGAGGGAACAAGACCAGAGUUUCACGGCCCUAGACUGGAGCUGGUUACAGAUGGAAGAAGAAGAGCACAGCUGCCUGGAGCAGGCCUCAUGAUGUGGGGGGACUCGACCCCCUGACAUGGGGCAGCCCAUAGCAGGCCUUGUGCAGUGGGGGGACUCAACCCCCUGACAUGGGGCUGCCUGGAGCAGGCCGCGUGACGUGGGGCUGCCUGGCCGCGGCUCUCACAUGGUAGUUCCUGCUGCACUGAUGGCCCAGCGGUCUCUGGUAUCCAGAUGGAGCUCUCGCUUCCUCAGCAGCUGUGACUUUCACCCAGGACCCAGGACGCAGCCCUCCGUGGGCACUGCCGGCGCCUUGUCUGCACACUGGAGGUCCUCCAUUACAGAGGCCCAGCGCACAUCGCUGGCCCCACGAGCGUUCAGGGGUACAGCCACGGCAGCUCCUUCCUCUGCCGUGAGAAAAGUGCUUGGAGUACGGUUUGCCACACACGUGACUGGACAGUGUCCAAUUCAAAUCUUUCAGGGCAGAGUCCGAGCAGCGCUUGGUGACAGCCUGUCCUCUCCUGCUCUCCAAAGGCCCUGCUCCCUGUCCUCUCUCACUUUACAGCUUGUGUUUCUUCUGGAUUCAGCUUCUCCUAAACAGACAGUUUAAUUAUAGUUGCGGCCUGGCCCCAUCCUCACUUCCUCUUUUUAUUUCACUGCUGCUAAAAUUGUGUUUUUACCUACUACUUUGGUGGUUGUCCUCUUUUCGGCAAAGUUGGAGCGAGUGCCAAGCUCUCCAUCUGUGGUCCUUUCUGCCAAGAGCGACUCAUAGUAACCAGGAUGGGAGAGCAGCUGCCUUAUUCUGAAUCCCAAAAAUUACUUGGGGGUGAUUGUCACAGAGGAGGGACAGAAAGGGUAUCUGCUGACCACCAGCCUGCCUACCCAUGCCCAUGUCGCCAUUCCUGCUCAAGCGUGUGUGCUGGGCCGGGGAGUCCCUGUCUCUCACAGCAUCUAGCAGUAUUAUUAAAUGGACUCAUUUUUAAAAUAGCUCCUAUAUUUUGUAACAUGUCUCAAACACUCAUACUGGGUUCCACAAUCCACUGUUAGAAUACCUAUGGUUAGGGCUUCUGAACUAAAAUAAUGGAAAAUUUUAACAAUUUGUAUAGUGCCUGGAUCAUUACUAGUGCCAUAACCCUGCUUCUUCAACAUUUCACAGAACUUCUCUUUUAUAUAAAGGCAAGAGCACAAAAUGAGUUCAGAUGAUCACAAACAGGUGAGUUUUGUUGGAGAAGAAAGUUGGAGUAGGAGACUUUCACAAGUGGUUUCCAUGGAGAUAGAAUGAAGCAUUCUGUGGUCAAGUAAGUUUAGGGAGCUAUUCAUGUUUCACUUGCUUUGUGGAGAUUCACACUAUGCACUGGGAAAGUAUCUGAAAAGUCUUAUAAUAAAGAAACAGGCUUAACUUUGUAUAAGAACACUGUUUAUCAAUGUCAUUUGGCUAUAGAAACAUUUUCUCCUGCUGAUUGUGUGUGUGAAACAUGUAUUAACAUUCCAAUGAACUAGCAUUUAAUAAAGCACAAUUUUGGAAACCCUGGUAAA